AACGAACGCUGGCGGCAUGCCUAAUACAUGCAAGUCGAACGAGAUCUUCGGAGCUAGUGGCGCACGGGUGCGUAACGCGUGGGAAUCUGCCCUUGGGUUCGGAAUAACUUCUGGAAACGGAAGCUAAUACCGGAUGAUGACGUAAGUCCAAAGAUUUAUCGCCCAAGGAUGAGCCCGCGUAGGAUUAGCUAGUUGGUGAGGUAAAGGCUCACAAAGGCGACGAUCCUUAGCUGGUCUGAGAGGAUGAUCAGCCACACUGGGACGGAGACACGGCCCAGACUCCUACGGGAGUCAGCAGUAGGGAAUAUUGGACAAUGGGGGAAACCCUGAUCCAGCAAUGCCGCGUGAGUGAUGAAGGCCUUAGGGUUGUAAAGCUCUUUUACCCGGGAUGAUAAUGACAGUACCGGGAGAAUAAGCUCCGGCUAACUCCGUGCCAGCAGCCGCCGUAACAC
rnacentral:rRNA from 1 species